rnacentral:tRNA from 1 species
GCGGGAGUAGCUCAGUGGUAGAGCGGUAGCCUUCCAAGCUAUUAACGCGGGUUCGAUUCCCGUCUCCCGCUCCA